AACUUUCCUAGCCCGGAUGUCUAACUCGAAUCAACGCUUGAUGUGAUGGGCGUUAUUUGUUCAGGAGUAUAAUCUUGACAUUCUUCAUAUGAAGGACUCUGAAAAUGUGAUUGCCAAUGCGCUGUCCAGGACCGGUGGUACUGAAAUCUAAGUGAUAUAUAUAUAUAUAGAUUUCUUUUUUUCCAAGUCGAGGGAUAAAAGAAAAAACUUAGUGGUGGGGGUGUUACGUCCAUAGGGACAUAAGUUAUUCUGUCUUUUGAUUUCAUUAACCAUUGGGUUUACUGUGUGUAUGUGUAUGUAGACUGUGAUCUUGUUUCUUUUACUCCUCCUUCUCUCUCUGCUUGGCAGGCUAAUGAGUGUCACCUGACUCCUGUUUAGCUCGUUAGUUGGAGUAUAAAGGAGAGCUAACAGAAGAGCUGCAGUCCAGGGUGAGAGGCUGAGGCCUUCCAUCCUUGCAACUUCCAUCUUCCAGUUCCAGUGUUGUGAUUUAAGCUCUUGUUUAAACUCUUGUCUACUUAAGUGUUUGUUGAUUGCUUCACCUAUAGUGUUAAAGUGAAGUUAUUGAGAGUAGCAGAGUGGAUGUCAUUUAUUUUAGAAAUUACCCGUUGUCUCCUGUGUUUGAGUUAGAGAGGAAGUCAGGGAAGUAUCUCUGUGCUUUUUAUUUUUCUUGUUUGGUAGGUAAGAUAAUACUGAAAACCUUAGUCAGAGGAAACUUUUUGUUUAUUGUUUUGGCCUUUCCCUUCCUGAAGCCUUAUAUAUUUUUCCAUUCUGUUAAAUAAAAUUCCUCUGGUUGUUUGCUCAAA